GCGCUCGAUUCAGCAGCACAUACACUAAAAUUGGAAUAGUACAGAGAAGAUUAGUAUGGCCCCUGUGCAAGAAUGACAUGCAAAUAUAUGAAGUGCAUAUUUAA
rnacentral:snRNA from 1 species